rnacentral:rRNA from 1 species
GAUGAACGCUGGCGGCGUGCCUAACACAUGCAAGUCGAACGGACUUAGCGAAGUGCUUGCACUUUGCGAAAGUUAGUGGCGGACGGGUGAGUAACACGUAGGCAACCUGCCUCUUACACUGGGAUACCUUCGGGAAACUGAAGUUAAUACCGGAUAAGCUUACAGUACGGCAUCGUACAGUGAGAAAAGAUUUAUCGGUAAGAGAUGGGCCUGCGCAAGAUUAGCUAGUUGGUGGGGUAAAGGCCUACCAAGGCUACGAUCUUUAGCCGACCUGAGAGGGUGAUCGGCCACAUUGGGACUGAGACACGGCCCAAACUCCUACGGGAGGCAGCAGUGAGGAAUAUUGCACAAUGGGGGCAACCCUGAUGCAGCAACGCCGCGUGAGUGAAGAAGGUUUUCGGAUCGUAAAGCUCUUUAGUGUGGGAAAAAUUUUGAUGGUACCACAAGAAUAAGCACCGGCUAACUACGUGCCAGCAGCCGCGGUAAUACGUAGGGUGCAAGCGUUAUCCGGAUUUACUGGGUGUAAAGCGAGAGUAGGCGGUUUAUUAAGCCAUGUGUGAAAGCCCGAGGCUCAACCUCGGUUAGCACAAGGAACUGGUAAACUAGAGUAUUGGAGAGGUAAGUGGAAUUCCUAGUGUAGCGGUGAAAUGCGUAGAUAUUAGGAGGAACACCAGUGGCGAAGGCGACUUACUGGACAAUUACUGACGCUGAGUCUCGAAAGCGUGG